rnacentral:rRNA from 1 species
UACGAAGGGGGCUAGCGUGCUCGGAAUUACUGGGCGUAAAGGGCGCGUAGGCGGCACUGUUAGUCAGGCGUGAAAGUCCUGGGCUCAACCUGGGAACUGCGCUUGAUACGGCAGAGCUAGAGGAUGGAAGAGGGUCGCGGAAUUCCCAGUGUAGAGGUGAAAUUCGUAGAUAUUGGGAAGAACACCGGUGGCGAAGGCGGCGACCUGGUCCAUUACUGACGCUGAGGCGCGACAGCGUGGGGAGCAAACAGG